GUUAUUUUUGGUUAGCCUGCAAGAAAGAUAAUAACUUGAGCUGGGGCUGUGAGAAGGAAAAACAAGAGCUGACAUAAAAAGGGAGUUACAUGGCUAAAAACAUUCAGUAAACUCUUUAUGUAGUGACUAAGUAUUAUGAUUUGGGAGCAAGGAAACCUUCGUGGUGAUCAAGGCUUGAGAUUUAUAAAAGAAAAACCAAAUUCUUUUGCUCUCUCUUUCUCCUCAUCCGCCCAGCCCAAUUCUCUCCCCUGCCUCCCUAACCAAGUCGUCAAAAUCCUCUCUCUUAUGACCAGUUUAUUUACUCGGUUUAUGCAAGAUGUGAAGCAAUAUAAGAGUUAGAACAAGCAAGAAAAAGGUAUUAUAACCUAUCUUGAUUAUAUCUUUAUCAUAUAAUGCAAAGUUCNNNNNNNNNNNNNNNNNNNNNNNNNNNNNNNNNNNNNNNNNNNNNNNNNNNNNNNNNNNNNNNNNNNNNNNNNNNNNNNNNNNNNNNNNNNNNNNNNNNNAGGAGUAUAGGAUUGGUUGUGCGGAGUAAUAAGGUGGCAAAAAUCGGGUUAGAACAUAAACCAAACUCUAUGAAAUCUGCGUUUUAAAGCAACGCACACCACAUGCUCGAUAAAAGUCCUCUAUGGACUGUUUUGGUUAAAAACAAAGAAUUAAGUCAAGCCGAGGCCAAGAUUACAUAUAUAUACACUAUAUGUAGAUAAUUAAAGGAUUUGAGCAAAUCAAAUUAGAACGAAAAGCAAUUGUAAGCCAAAACGAAAAAUCGAAAGAUAGUGUGUCGGGCCACUUAUGGACUAACAUUGGACUGUUUUGGAACUUUUGUGGUUUUGAUUCAUGUCUGAAAUUUAAGUUCUGUAGUAGUAUGUUAUACUCCUAUGAGUUAUGAAAAUAACCCAAUUGGAACGAAGUAAAAAUGAGCUCAAACGAAUUUAUAGUGAAUGUUUUGGUAAAACAUGUUAAAAACUAAGAAAAACUAGUGGACUGCUGCCCCUAAAAUGAAAAUUCGGGGUUAGUUAGGAUGUUCAGAAAAUUCUGGGCUUUUGGUAUGUUAUAGUACACUGAAUAAGCUUUCCAUAGACUCCGGAACGGAUUAAUUCUGACCUCGGAGCAAAGAGUUAUGAUCGUUCAAAGUAGUCGCGUCAAAACUGUCUAACCAACUCGGGGCAGUCACCUUGAACGAAUUUUCUGGAAUUCUGUGUUUAGAAUUUGGUAAAGGUCAAAGAAUAAAAGUUGUAGUCCCGGAAGUUAGCUUCGCGUGGGCUCAAGAAUCGCCUAAAAAUGUUUUAAAACGAAAAAGUUUUGACUGUUUUAGCGAGAGAGGGUACAGCUGGGAAGAAAUUGAAACUGUUAUGAACGUCUACUUUUGACGCAUUAUUUGGGCUGCCUAAUGAACCCGAAUUGGGUGACUCGGUACUUUUAAAAAAAUAGUCUCAUAUACUAUAUAUUACAUAUUUAAAAUUUGUUGUAAUCCACUAUACGAGCUAGAAGUAAUGAGGUCGCAAAAUGGGCACGUUGGAAACAGAGCUGCUGCCCACGGUAGCAGCAGUGGUGAUGUUUGGCAAUGGCUAGGGGCUUUCCUUGGGCUCUCAGCCAACAAAUUUAAAUUGCCCAUGAUACACGGCUAAUGUUCUAAUGUAAUGGAUUGGUAUAUCACCUAUUUAGAAUCUAAAAUUCAACAUAAGUAAAUCAAAGCGACGAGAAAUGAAAAGCUAACAUAUUAAAAAGAAUGGACUACUGCCCAUUAUCAGCAACAGUCAGCCACAAGGAGCCUCAUUUUUCAGGCAAGGUGAGGGUGCAUCUGUUGCCUAAUGGCAGCAUCAGUUAACAAGAAGUGGGAGCUACAGCGUGCAACAGUUGCUGGCCAUGUUGGUUUCUUGGCAUAGUUUAAUAGUUUACCCUUAAAACCUAGUCUAUGACUCCUAAGUGAACAAGUGCGUAGUAUAUAUAUAUAGAACAUUCUUGGUUCAGCUAGAUGGGUAAUGAAAAAGGUUGGAUUGGCAAGUGGCAUAGCAAGUAACCUGAGCUAAGGGGCUGUUAGGCUUCAAAUGGGGCCGCAGGGACAUGCCAAGCUUAGCUAAGCCCCACGGGGCCAAGCCAAGCUUGGCUGCCAGCAUAGAGAGAUUAUAGAGGAUUGCUAUAUAUAUACACUUAACCAAUAAGAAGCUGUCUUGGGUAUUAUAAUGGAAAGCAAGUAUAUUUAACACAAUAACUAUAAAUAGUUAUGAGAACUAUUAAUUACCCAAACAAGACUUAGUUAUACCCAAGUUAUGUAACACACUAUAAAUGUUCCUUGAACUCUUGAGUUAUAUGCAAAGAACAUGUAAUAUAUGCUUUAGGCUUCAAGUAGGGAAUGAUUUAUGUCAAGGAAACCACAUACUACAAUCAAAUCAAACCCUAUUAAAGAGAAAAAUAAAUAUUAUAAGAGCAUGGAUGAGAUAUUUGAAAAAAUGUAUCUUCAAUAUAGAACAUGAACUAAAAACAUUAUGAUUAUGUGAUAUGUGAUAAUACAAGCUAUAUGACUUGGUUAUUUGGCUAAUAUGCUUGUAAAUGCAAAUAAUUGUGUAGGAUCUGUGAGAAUACACAAGUUAAGAUGAAAUUGUACCAAUAGUCUACAAACAAGGCAAGUUUUCCAGUUCCUAUUUGUUAUAUGAAUUUGACAUAAUUACAUGGAUUACAUGUUAUACUUGUGGAAUGAUGAAAGUCAACUAUUGACUAAAUUUGAUUGAGUUUUUAAAACUCAGUCUUGGUUUGAUAUUUGAUAUGUGUGAGAUACAAAUGUUACUUAAAUUGUAAUAAUCUUGAGAUAUGAUAUAAACAUGAUAUUAUGUGUUAUGUGAAGCAUGAAAACUGUUAGACUUGCUGGGCCGUAGUGCUCAAUCUUGCAAACAAUUUUGUAGAUAAAUGUUGAUUUAUCAGAUGGUCAUAACAACGAAGAUUUGUGAUGAGACAUGAGUAUUAAAGAUGUAUUGCUUCAUCAAGUUUAGACUGUACCAAGCUGAGGCUACUUGCUGUAAAGUGAUAUAAUUGAGUAGUGUAAAUGUUGUUAUACCCAGUAAUUAUGCUGAAUAGAAAUAAUCUUUUUUGAAUACGAGAUGUAGCUUUACUAUUAUUUUGUAAAGUAAGUUACUAUAAUAGCAUAGAAGUGCAUUAAGUGGGGUAUAGCGAAUAUACAGUCGAUAAAUUAUGUUUUAAAGAUUCAGGGAUGAGUAAAGUUAAAAGUUUGAACCUUAUGUUCAAAUGUGACUUUUCGGAAUGGGUCUUUAUAUUUAUAUAAUCCUGAAUAUGAGUAUAGAUUAUAACAGUUGCAAAUUCUGGAACUGAGAAAGUUUUAAUAACUAAAUUUUGAUAUCUAUAUUGAUAUUGACUGUGAUAUACAGUAAGAAUAAAGUUGAAUCAUGAUAUAGAUUCAAGAUAUGAUAGAGUUGCAAAAAUAAAAAUUUUGCAUGUUUGAAAUGUGAUAUGAUCUCUAGCUGACCAGAUGAUAACGAUUGGAA
rnacentral:lncRNA from 1 species